rnacentral:rRNA from 1 species
GUGCCUCAGCCGCGGUAAUACCGGCAGCCCAAGUGAUGGCCGAUCUUAUUGGGCCUAAAGCGUCCGUAGCUGGCCGCGCAAGUCCAUCGGAAAAUCCACCCGCCCAACGGGUGGGCGUCCGGUGGAAACUGCGUGGCUUGGGACCGGAAGGCGCGACGGGUACGUCCGGGGUAGGAGUGAAAUCCUAUAAUCCUGGACGGACCACCAAUGGGGAAACCACGUCGAGAGACCGGACCCGACAGUGAGGGACGAAAGCCAGGGUCUCGAACCGGAUUAGAAACCCUAGUAGUCC